UCUUUUUAAGUGGGAGAACUUGCACAAUUGGUGGCUGACUAAAUACUUUUUUCGCCCCACUGUAGUUGAAUAGGGUUCGGUUUGAGAGGAAGACAAUAACUUGCACGCUGUUUAAACUCCAGCCUGUGAGUAAGGAGUAAGUGGUGCCCAUUCAGUGUACCUGCAGUAUAACCCAGUGUCCUUCUCUAGCUGCCAUGUUCAGAGCAGCCUCGGCCACCACCUCCUGGCCCUGACCCAGAGACACGUUGUGGAACUUCCCGUUGUCAAAGAGCUUCCACAUCUUUGAGGGGGUCGACUCCCGGGGAGAGGAUGAAGAACAUGGGAGUAGACGAGCUGCUCUCCUCAAAUGAUACAGCGAACUCCACGCUCCUCCCCUCCACGUACUUUGUACCCAUCUUCUCCUCCACAAAGGUACUACAACACACAUAACAAACACUCAACAUUACCAGAACAAACAUCUGCUUCCUUUACACUGGUGUAUGUGUGCGUGUCUUGUACCUGACUGCGUAGGACAUCCGGUCCGGUCUCAUACACCUCAUCAUGCAGAGUUUCUGGAGGCCAGUCUUGUUCUUCCACUCCUGAGGAAACUUUUCCUUCUCCGGAGCCUCCGACUCAACAAACUUCUUCCAGCGCUUUGCAGAUCCCUCCAUGUCCCGGUCCAGGUUCUUAAACUCAUCAAACUCCGACAGGGCCUGACACACACACAUACAUACACAAACCUCUAUUACUCAGUUCUGCAGGUGGAUAGUGUGUGUCAGUAGAGUGUGUGUGUGUGAUUGUCUGUACACUCUCGGAAAUAAAGGUGUACAAACGCUUGUCACUGUAGUGAUUUGUAUCUUUAGUCAUAGGUACAUCAAUGUACCCUUGCCUUUUUAGGGUACCACCACAUUGACAAGAUCAUGUGUUCCUUUUAAGUGGCAAAAAGGUUUUUGGGUGUUGUUUUAACACUGUAGGGUGUAAAGCCUUUUUGCAUAUUUCCCAGGAUGUCUUUCAAGUAAAUCUGAGUUACCAGUACCACCCAUGACUGUUUUUGCUAGUGACUGAGACAUGGUUGUGGCUUUCAGUUCUGUAGCCUUCACUAAAUUAAUAUUUGAUCAUUGAAAUUAAACUCUUUAUGACAACACAUUACAUACAGGUAACUGCCAAAAUAAUGGAAACACUUCAGUAAAUGAGGGACACAAAGUAUAUUGAAAGCAUGUGCUUCCACACAGGUGUGAUUCCUGAGUUAAUUAAGCAAUUAACACCCCAUCAUCCCACAUGAAAUACUACAGUUUACUAUAGAAUACUACAGUAAUUACUAUAGAAUUCUAUAGCAAUGUCAGCCAUGACCUUAGAAAUCUCUGUUUUCUAUAUAUUUUGGUUAGGUCAGGGUGUGACUAGUGUGGGUACUCUAGUUUUUGUAUGUCUAGGGUUUUUGUAGGUCUAGGGGUUUUUGUAGGUCUAUGUUGACCUGAUAUGGUUCCCAAUCAGAGACAGCUAUUUAUCGUUGUCUCUGAUUGGGGAUCAUAUUUAGGCACCCCUUUUUCCCCAAUUUCUAGUGUGGGAUCUUGACUAUGUAUAGUUGCCUGUCAGCACUAUUUUGUAUAGCGUUUUGUUUGUUUUGUUUAGUGAGUUUCUGUUUAUUAAAAUAUGUGGAACGCUG